rnacentral:rRNA from 1 species
UACGUAGGCAGCAAGCGUUGUUCGGAGUUACUGGGCGUAAAGGGUGCGUAGGCGGCUUUCUAAGUCUGAUGUGAAAUCCUGGGGCUCAACCCUGGAACUGCAUUGGAUACUGGGAGGCUAGAGUACUGGAGAGGAAACUGGAAUUACGGUGUAGCAAGUGAAAUGCGUAGAGAUCGUAAGGAAGACCAGUGGCGAAAGGCGAGUUUCUGGACAGUUUAC